GCUUAACACAUGCAAGUCGAGCGAGAAUCGUUUAUUGAAGGCUUCGGCUGGAAAUAGAUGAGGAAAGCGGCGAACGGGUGAGUAACGCGUGGGCAACCUGGCCUUAAGAAAAGGAUAGCCCCCGGAAACGGGGAGUAAUACUUUAUGAAAAUGAGAGAGGGCAUCCUACUUUCAUUCAAAGCGCAAGCGCUUAAGGAUGGGCCAGCGUAUCAUUAGCUAGUUGGUGAGAUAACAGCCCACCAAGGCAACGAUGAUUAGCCGGUCUGAGAGGGCGAACGGCCACAUUGGAACUGAGAGACGGUCCAAACUCCUACGGGAGGCAGCAGUGGGGAAUAUUGCGCAAUGGAGAAGAACUCUGACGCAGCAAUACCGCGUGAGCGAAGGAGGUCUUCGGAUCGUAAAGCUCUGUUAUCAGGGAAGAAGAAAAUGACGGUACCUGAUGAGCAAGUCCCGGCUAACUACGUGCCAGCCGCCGCCGUAACAC
rnacentral:rRNA from 1 species